GCGUGUCACUCGCUCCCAAGGACCACGAGGCCAGGCUCCUCUCCGCAACGCUCCGAGUCGUGCAACCCAAUGGGCUUCAGUAGCUCUGGAAUUAAGCCACUGCGUUGAGAUAAGGGUAGCGCCACACUGGAAGUCUCCAUCGCGGUAUAGAGCUGCCUGCCAGGGCCAGGCGCCUGCCGCCGCUCCUCCACCACCUACCACCCUGCCCCACCGCACUCGCUCUUUUUCGUUUAUAAAUCAUUGCACAUGCAAGCAUCGACACAGGUUCUUGUAAUCGAACUUGGGACCUGCAUGUGCUUAAUUUGAAGGCAGAAAUUCGUGUUUCGAGUACAAUAAUUGUAUAAGUAAUAAAAUAGUUGAAACUACUAUGAAAUGUGACUUAAGUUCAAAAAGGAACUCUAAAUAAAUUUGCUGAUUAUAUUGAGUGUAUUAAAUAUA